GGAUCCAUAUUCAGAUCAGGCUUAGAUCCAAACCUUUGACGGGAGUCAACAAUUUUGGAUCGGAUAUUUUCGGAUUAUCAGACCCAAAUACGUCGCAGAGGACGACGAAUUCCGGUAUCUGCGAUCAAUGUUCCCUCCCCAAAGCCCUAAUUCAACGCAAUCGUGCUCAACCUUGGCUUAUGUUAAUAUUGGCUGAAAAGCAAGUGCCACUGUACGGCUGGGAAGCCUGUAGCAUAAGAGAUUGUGUGGAGACAGUGUUUGGUGUUUAAAAAGAAGAAGAAGAAGAAGAAGAUUUGACUAAUCUCACGGCUACUACAGAAAUGUACAGGAUGUACGUGUCUUAUCUCUUCUCAUUUCUCGCUAUGUUCAUAGCUUUAUGCAUAUUGUUUAUGAGCACAUAAAACUGUGAAUAAAUGCAAAAGUACAACGUGAAUAAAUGCAAAAGUACAACAUGGAAAUGAAUCAUUUCAUGCAGGCUGUAUCAGCAUCAAUAUUGCACAUUAUGUUGAGAUCAUUGUGCCUGACAAUUUCAUGUUGGUCAUCAUCUUGAGGCAGAAAUCUCAGAUUUGACACUGAUUUUGUGUAUUUGUCUUAUUCUUAUUCAUGCACCACUUUUUGGUUGUGAUCUUGAUAAACCAAGUAAAAUACUGCUAUCUUUUUAGCUUC